GCCAGGCGUGGUGGCUCAUGCCUGUAAUCCCAGAACUUUGGGAGGCUGAGGUGGGAGGAUUGCUUGAGCCCAGGAGUUAGAGACCAGCCUGGGCAACACAGCAAGACCCCAUCUCUA
rfam:Homo sapiens chromosome 2, GRCh38 reference primary assembly.